AGUUAGGUAGGAAAUUGAUUUACAGGAUUAGUGUCUGAAUUGGCAUGGGAAAUAGUACCGUUAGGGAUAAGUUUGAAGUUUCACUUUAUGGAGAGGAUAAAUAGAAAUAUAGACGGAGGGAGUUUCCGUACUUUUUGCAUCAUGGUUUAUAGAGAGAAAUUAAAUUGUUAGUUUCCCGAAAGCUACUGAUCUAUUUUGGCUAUAAUAAUUUAGUGGAUUAACUGUAAUGUUGAAAAAUUGUUUGAGAAGGUCAAGAUGGGGUGAAAAGCGAUUCGCAGUGGCUGAUAGCUGGUUGGGGGAGAAAUGUAUAUAAGUGCAGGUUUAUAUUUUGGGCUACUUAUGGUGAAGAUGCUCAUGAUUAGACUGAUACGCGGGGGGUUCAGCUCGCGCGUGCUGUUGGGAAGUGUCUAGUGUUGUUGAAGUAGGAUUUAGAAUGCCUUUCUUUGUAAGACUAUUUAAGGUAGGCUAUUAGGGAUAUAUCUGUUAGGUAUCCUCUUAUUACGGUUAAUUUGGCUGUAUUAGAGUAGUAUAAAAUAAGUAGAAUGGUCUAUUAGAGUUAUUAUAUUGGGUGAGCCCCUAUAAAGAUUAUAAUUAAGUUGUUGAUGAGUAGUGUGUAAAAGUACUUUUGAUGAACUCGGCAAAAAUUUUCUGCACCUGUUUAUUAAAAACAUGGCCUUCUGAGUUGAAAUGAUAGGGGGUCAGGCCUGCCCGGUGGUGUACUUAACGGUCGCAGGAUACUGUGCUAAGGUAGCAUAAUAGUUCGUCCCUUAAUUGGGGAAUAGUAUGAAUGGUCAGAUGGUGGAAAAGCUUUAUUAAAAGUAUAGGUUGAAAUUUACUUUCAGGUGCAAAGGCCUGAAUAUAUUUAUUAGACGAGAAGACCCUGUUGAGCUUAGUAGUCCACAAGUCCGAGAGGUUUGUGGUUUAUAUUUUUUCGGGGCUGAAAGGAAGGGAAAGUUAUUCCUUCUUGGUGAGUAAAGAUCCAGCAUGGUUGAUAAGAGGAAGAUAGCUACCACAGGGAUAACAGCGCGAUCCAGCUGUCAAGAUCUUAUUUGAGGCUAGGGUUUGCGACCUCGAUGUUGAAUCAGGGUUUCUAUUGGGUGUAGCAGCUCGGUAAGUAAGACUGUUCGUCUUAUGAAAUCUUACGUGAUUUGAGUUUAGACCGGCGUGAGCUAGGUCAGUUUCUAUCUGUAGUUUAGGAGUCUUUAGUACGAAAGGAUUGAGACUUCUGGUUUUACUAAAGUGUCGUUGAUGAGGGUUGAGUCAAAGUUGCAAGAUAUACUCUGUUGUUGAGUAGUCUG
rnacentral:rRNA from 1 species